rnacentral:rRNA from 1 species
GACGAACGCUGGCGGCGUGCUUAACACAUGCAAGUCGAACGGAAAGGCCCCUUUGGGGGUACUCGAGUGGCGAACGGGUGAGUAACACGUGAGUAACCUGCCCUUGACUUCGGGAUAACUUCAGGAAACUGGGGCUAAUACCGGAUAGGAAUCCUUGCUGCAUGGUGGGGGUUGGAAAGCUUCGGCGGUUUUGGAUGGACUCGCGGCUUAUCAGCUUGUUGGUGGGGUAGUGGCUUACCAAGGCUUUGACGGGUAGCCGGCCUGAGAGGGCGACCGGCCACAUUGGGACUGAGAUACGGCCCAGACUCCUACGGGAGGCAGCAGUGGGGAAUAUUGCACCAUGGGCGGAAGCCUGAUGCAGCAACGCCGCGUGCGGGAUGACGGCCUUCGGGUUGUAAAACGCUUUCAGCAGGGGCGAAGCUUGUGGUGACGGUACCUGCAGAAGAAGCACCGGCUAACUACGUG